GAUGAAGAACGCAGCGAAAUGCGAUAAGUAAUGUGAAUUGCAGAAUUCAGUGAAUCAUCGAAUCUUUGAACGCACAUUGCGCCCGCCAGUAUUCUGGCGGGCAUGCCUGUUCGAGCGUCAUUUCAACCAUCAAGCCCCCGGCUUGUGUUGGGGACCUGCGGCUGCCGCAGGCCCUGAAAACCAGUGGCGGGCUCGCUAGUCACUCCGAGCGUAGUAAUACAUCUCGCUCAUGGCGUGCUGCGGGUUCCGGCCGUUAAAAAGCCUUAUUUACCCAAGGUUGACCUCGGAUCAGGUAGGAAGACCCGCUGAACUUAAGCAUAUCAAUAAGCGGAGGA
rnacentral:misc_RNA from 1 species